GAGUUUGAUCAUGGCUCAGAGCGAACGCUGGCGGCAUGCUUAACACAUGCAAGUCGCACGGUCAGCAAUGGCAGUGGCGGACGGGUGAGUAACACGUAGGAAUCUAUCUCUGGGUGGGGGACAACAGGUGGGAAACUACUGCUAAUACCGCAUGAUACCCUGAGGGUCAAAGGCGUAAGUCGCCUGGAGAGGAGCCUGCGUCUGAUUAGCUUGUUGGUGGGUAAAGGCCUACCAAGGCUACGAUCGAGUAGCUGGUCUGAGAGGAUGAUCAGCCACAUUGGGACUGAGACACGG
rnacentral:rRNA from 1 species